rnacentral:ncRNA from 1 species
AAAGUGCGGUCAAGAUACCUCAUGAGAUACCACAAAAGGUGUUGGUUGGUCCAGAUAGCAGGACGGUAGCCACAGAAAUAGAAAACCGCUAAGGAGUAUUUAACAACUGUCUAACAGAAUCAACCUGCCCUGAAAAUGAGUGGCACUCGAGCCUUGGAUCUAUGCCGUCGUACCGUUGCUGCAGGUUACGCCUGUGCAGGCUGAAAGCAAACUGACUUGGUCCAACCAUGGAAUAGCAGUAACG